UAACUUUCAACAACGGAUCUCUAGGCUCUUGCAUCGAUGAAGAACGCAGCGAAAUGCGAUAAGUAAUGUGAAUUGCAGAAUUCCGUGAAUCAUUAAAUCUUUGAACGCAAAUUGCACUUCUUGGUAUUCCGAGGAGUAUGCUUGCUUGAGGGUUGGUC
rnacentral:rRNA from 1 species